rnacentral:rRNA from 1 species
UGGGGAAUAUUGGACAAUGGGCGAAAGCCUGAUCCAGCCAUGCCGCGGGAGUGAUGGAGGCCUUAGGGUUGUAAAGCUCUUUCAGUAGGGAAGAGAAUGACGGUACCUACAGAAGAAGCCCAGGCUAACUUCAUGCCAGCAGCCGCGGUAAUACGAAGGGGGCUAGCGUCGUUCGGAUUUACUGGGCGUAAAGCGCACGUAGGCGGAUCGUUAAGUCGGGGGUGAAAUCCUGGAGCUCAACUCCAGAACUGCCUUCGAUACUGGCGAUCUUGAGUCCGGAAGAGGUGAGUGGAACUCCUAGUGUAGAGGUGGAAUUCGUAGAUAUUAGGAAGAACACCAGUGGCGAAGGCGGCUCACUGGUCCGGUACUGACGCUGAGGUGCGAAAGCGUGGGGAGCAAA